rnacentral:rRNA from 1 species
GUGAGUAACACGUAUCCAACCUGCCGAUAACUCCGGGAUAGCCUUUCGAAAGAAAGAUUAAUACCGGAUAGCAUACGAAUAUCGCAUGAUAUUUUUAGAUAAAGAAUUUCGGUUAUCGAUGGGGAUGCGUUCCAUUAGUUUGUUGGCGGGGUAACGGCCCACCAAGACAACGAUGGAUAGGGGUUCUGAGAGGAAGGUCCCCCACAUUGGAACUGAGACACGGUCCAAACUCCUACGGGAGGCAGCAGUGAGGAAUAUUGGUCAAUGGGCGAGAGCCUGAACCAGCCAAGUAGCGUGAAGGAUGAAGGCUCUAUGGGUCGUAAACUUCUUUUAUAUGGGAAUAAAGUAUUCCACGUGUGGAAUUUUGUAUGUACCAUAUGAAUAAGGAUCGGCUAACUCCGUGCCAGCAGCCGCGGUAAUACGGAGGAUCCGAGCGUUAUCCGGAUUUAUUGGGUUUAAAGGGAGCGUAGGUGGAUUGUUAAGUCAGUUGUGAAAGUUUGCGGCUCAACCGUAAAAUUGCAGUUGAAACUGGCAGUCUUGAGUACAGUAGAGGUGGGCGGAAUUCGUGGUGUAGCGGUGAAAUGCUUAGAUAUCACGAAGAACUCCGAUUGCGAAGGCAGCUCACUAGACUGUCACUGACA